rnacentral:rRNA from 1 species
GAGCGAACGCUGGCGGCAGGCUUAACACAUGCAAGUCGAGCGGGCAUCCUUGUGGUGUCAGCGGCAGACGGGUGAGUACCGCGUGGGAACGUGCCCUUCGGUUCGGAAUAACUCAGGGAAACUUGAGCUAAUACCGGAUACGUGCGAGAGCAGAAAGGUUUAUCUGCCGAAGGAUCGGCCCGCGUCUGAUUAGCUAGUUGGUGAGGUUACGGCUCACCAAGGCGACGAUCAGUAGCUGGUCUGAGAGGAUGAUCAGCCACACUGGGACUGAGACACGGCCCAGACUCCUACGGGAGGCAGCAGUGGGGAAUAUUGGACAAUGGGGGCAACCCUGAUCCAGCCAUGCCGCGUGAGUGAUGACGGCCUUAGGGUUGUAAAGCUCUUUUCUCCGGGACGAUAAUGACGGUACCGGAGGAAUAAGCCCCGGCUAACUUCGUG